UACGUAGGCAGCGAGCGUUGUUCGGAAUUACUGGGCGUAAAGAGUGUGUAGGCGGUGCUCCAAGUCUGGUGUGAAAUCUCCCGGCUCAACUGGGAGGGUGCGCUAGAAACUGGAAUGCUAGAGGAUGGGAGAGGUAAGCGGAAUUCCUGGUGUAGCGGUGAAAUGCGUAGAUAUCAGGAGGAACACCUGUGGUGUAGACAGCUUACUGGACCAUUUCUGACGCUGAGACACGAAAGCGUGGGUAGCAAACAGG
rnacentral:rRNA from 1 species